rnacentral:rRNA from 1 species
CCUACGGGAGGCAGCAGUAAGGAAUAUUGGACAAUGGACGCAAGUCUGAUCCAGCCAUGCCGCGUGAAGGAUUAAGGCCCUCUGGGUUGUAAACUUCUUUUAUAGGGGACGAAAAAAGGGCUUUCUAGCUCGACUGACGGUACCCUAUGAAUAAGCACCGGCUAACUCCGUGCCAGCAGCCGCGGUAAUACGGAGGGUGCAAGCGUUAUCCGGAUUCACUGGGUUUAAAGGGUGCGUAGGCGGGCAGUUAAGUCAGUGGUGAAAUCUUCGAGCUCAACUCGGAAACUGCCAUUGAUACUAUCUGUCUUGAAUAUUGUGGAGGUGAGCGGAAUAUGUCAUGUAGCGGUGAAAUGCUUAGAUAUGACAUAGAACACCGAUUGCGAAGGCAGCUCGCUACACAAAUAUUGACGCUGAGGCACGAAAGCGUGGGGAUCAAACAGGAUUAGAUACCCUGGUAGUCCACGCCCUAAACUAUGGAUACUCGACAUUUGCGAUACACAGUAAGUGUNUGAGNGAAGANAUAAGUAUCCACCNCGGAGACGACGCGAGUAGUAACGUAAUAGAGUAGAGNGNGAGAGNGCGACGGACGACGACGAGGGAGAGG